rnacentral:lncRNA from 1 species
AUGCAGCGCGAGGAAGGGAAGGCACGGCGGCUGGGAGGGAAAGGGAUGGCGGCAGGGGAGGGGGGAGAUAGGGAGGGGGCAUGGGCUGGGAGGUGGAGCCGCGGCUGGCUGGAGCUGGCGACUCCAGCUCUCCCGGCUGCUGCGGGCAAAGGGAUCUCGGCACACGCAGCGAGGGAGCGCCGAGCGGCGGCUGCAGCGUCCGAGCUCGCCGCACUGCCUCGCGCCACCUCGAGCGCCGGGGAAGCUCGGGCUGCAACUUGGGCGCCGCCUGCGAAGAGGCGCUGGUGCCGCCGCCGGCCUCUCGGCUCCUGGGAAAGUUACCUCAGCUGCUCUGAAGAAGCUGCCGACGCCGAGGAAGGCGAGCCAGCGCGGCUGGGCUGCCUCCCGCUGCUCCGAGGGGGUGGAGCGGGCUGUACACUUCGUUCCAUCUCAUCCAUCCCAACAAAAUCAGGAGGAUGUUUACAACCUGUGCUAGGUGGGAAGUGGAAACAGGUGAGAAAUGUGCUACUGUCCUCCUUCCCAGACAGGGAGUGUAGGGGGGAAGCAACAGAAUACUCUAUUUCAUGUCCUUUUGCAUAGAAGGGAAGCUUUUUGGGAUGUUGAAUUACUGGACCAUGCUGGGUGUCUCUCUCUCUCCUUCCCUCCUCCACCCCUCAAUUCAGGUGUACUGCCUUCUUUCCAGUUAGCUUUCUGUCCCUGUGUUUGAUGAUAACAGAAAAGAUGUGCUGAAAGGUUUUAGGUAAUCCAAGCCAAACUAAACUUGCAGAUCAUAGUAAAACAUUUCCUCAAGACGACUAUCUCAGUGGGUGAUCUCCUGUCUCAAAGGAGACAAAUUCAUAUCUGUGCUUGACUUAGUGUGUUGUCUUAUCAUCAAAGAUCAGAUUAGUGGGUUGUCUCCUUUAAUGCUCUCACUUUGCAUUGCUUUCUUAUUUUGCAAGAGAAGUAGCUGUAUACAGAGUUUUCUUAUAGAUUUACCAGGAGGAUUUUGAACCUUUUGUUAAUAAAUAUUCCUACUCUUAGUUCUGGGCACACUGUAACUUGGAAAAUUUCCAAUGAUCCAGGCGGCUCAGUUGCCUAAAUAUCUGAUACAAGUCAUGUACCAAAUGUGUUGUUUAUCUUUUCCUAAUAUGCAAGAAAUAACUAAAAAGAAAACUGAUCUGUGCAGCAACCAAACCAUUGUUUUAGCAAAGUAUCCAGCUGACACUGCCUUAUUUUAGAAAAAUGUUAUUCUAGUGCGAUACAUUUGUUUAAAGCUGGAAUUUUUAUUAUCAGCUGUAGUUCACAAAACAUUUCCUCUUUCUUUUAGUAUAUUGAUUGUUCUCCUUUUAACUCUUGGAAUCUGUUCUGAUUCUACUGUAUGUAACUGCAUUUGUCAUGAUAUUGCAAUAUUCUGAAACAAUGUGCUAUUAUUCUUGGCACCUGCCACUGAGGUUAGGGGAACAGGUAAAGGUUAAACAUCUGGAAAAAUCCGUUAUAAGAUUUGUUGGGCAGUGGAGCAGUUUCUUCCUUGGGGGGUGUAUUGUAUAUCUUGCCCGAGAGCUUAUUCAAUUAUGAAGAAACAGGUUUGGCUGAACCACUUCGGGCUGCAGGUGUCUAUAAGUUUGAAUGAUCCCAUAUAUGAAAAAGAGACUGUACACAAGCCAAGGUUGGAAUGCUGGAGAAAAGGAAGUUAGCCUAGUUUUCUCCCUUGUGGAAUAGCUUCCCAUGUAUGAGGAAGAUUGUUUAAAAUUAAAAUAGGAGCGUACUGACACCUUUGAAUCUUUCCAUUAGUCCAAAGUGGUACAGUCCAGGAAGGGCAUCACUGUUAUCUGCUACUAGGUAAUGGUUGCAGAAUUAUUGAAACAUUGUACUUUGGGAAAGAUGUUCAUUUUCCAUCCUUAGAGAUUUUUAAAAGCUAUGUUGGACUGACAUCUCUCUGGGAGGUUGUCAGUUCUAGGGUACUUUGCCAUCUGAUGGUAUUUCUCACUUGACAACUUAUGGAAACAUAUAAAUAUGUGAUUCUGCUUUAUAAUACAUUAUUUUCUUGCUAGACUGAACAUGUUUCAUCAUAUGGCAAAUGGCUUUGAAAUAAAGGGGCAUUGAUACAGACUUAGAUGACUUUUAAAUGCCUUCCUGCAUAUUUAAAAACUAUCAAUCCUGUGCACCCACAGCACUUAAUAAUGAUUAAUGCUAACUAUAGUUGAUGUUGCUAUAACUACAGAUGAAACUAUGGUUUUGCAUGCAGAGUUUAACCAUUCCCCCAGUAGGGACAUAUAGGGAGAAAUCUACUUCACACCUUGCAAGCAGAGAAGCUGAAGAGAAAAACUGUCUUAACUAUGGUUUGCUUGAUGCAGAUGUAAUCCUUAACUAUAUGUAAACUUUAGUUUGGAAACCUAUGUAAAACUAGGGUUUCACAUCCUGUUUGCAGCUGCCCAGUCUAGACAAAAUGGGAAGUCAUGGGUUCCCACUAUAAAUGAGCUUUGGCAAACACUGGGCUUUUACACUCUCCCCCAC